CAAAAACAUGUCUAAUAGAUCAUAUAAUUUUUAGUCAAAUCUGCUCAAUGAGUUUUAAAUAGCUGCAGUAUAAAUAACUGUACUAAGGUAGCAUAAUAAAUAGUUUCUUAAUUAGAAACUUGUAUGAAAGAUUUAAUGAAAAAUUAACUUUAUUUAUUAAAAAAAUUUAAUUUUUAUUUAAAUAAAAAUAUUUAAAUAAAAUAAAUAAACAAAAAGACCCUAAAAACUUUAUAAAUUUUAUAAAUACAUUUAUUUAAUUGGGGAAAUUAAAAAAAUUAAAAAAUUUUUUUAUUAUAAACAAUAAUAUUUGAAAAAAAUAAUUUUAAUAAAAUAAAUAAAAAAGUUACUUUAGGGAUAACAGUAUAAUUUUUUUUUUUAGAUCACAUAAAUAAAAAAGUUUAUGACCUC
rnacentral:rRNA from 1 species